rnacentral:rRNA from 1 species
AUUGAACGCUGGCGGCAGGCCUAACACAUGCAAGUCGAACGGUAGCACAGAGAGCUUGCUCUCGGGUGACGAAUGGCGGACGGGUGAGUAAUGUCUGGGAAACUGCCUGAUGGAGGGGGAUAACUACUGGAAACGGUAGCUAAUACCGCAUAACGUCGCAAGACCAAAGAGGGGGACCUUCGGGCCUCUUGCCAUCAGAUGUGCCCAGAUGGGAUUAGCUAGUAGGUGGGGUAACGGCUCACCUAGGCGACGAUCCCUAGCCGGUCUGAGAGGAUGACCAGCCAGACUGGACCUGAGAAACGGUCCAGACUCCUACGGGAGGCAGCAGUGGGGAAGAUUGCACAAUGGGCGCAAGCCUGAUGCAGCCAUGCCGCGUGUAUGAAGAAGGCCUUCGGGUUGUAAAGUACUUUCAGCGAGGAGGAAGGCGAGACGGUUAAUAACCGUGUCGAUUGACGUUACUCGCAGAAGAAGCACCGGCUAACUCCGUGCCAGCCGCCGCCGUAA